AUUGAACGCUGGCGGCAGGCCUAACACAUGCAAGUCGAACGAGUGGCGGACGGGUGAGUAAUAUCUGGGAACCUGCCUAGUGGCGGGGGAUAACUACUGGAAACGGUAGCUAAUACCGCAUACCAUCGGAUGUGCCCAGAUGGGAUUAGCUAGUAGGUGGGGUAAAGGCUCACCUAGGCGACGAUCCCUAGCUGGUCUGAGAGGAUGACCAGCCACACUGGGACUGAGACACGGUCCAGACUCCUACGGGAGGCAGCAGUGGGGAAUAUUGCACAAUGGGGGAAAGCCUGAUGCAGCCAUCCCGCGUGUAUGAAGAAGGCCUUCGGGUUGUAAAGUACUUUUGGCAGGGAGGCGUUAUCUGCAGAAUAAGCACCGGCUAACUCCGUGCCAGCAGCCGCGGUAAUUC
rnacentral:rRNA from 1 species